CACCGCGGUUAUACGAGAGACCCAAGUUGACAGACAAUCGGCGUAAAGAGUGGUUAAGUAAUACAUUACACUAAAGCCAAACACCUUCAAAGCUGUUAUACGCACCCGAAGAUCAGAAGCUCAAUCACGAAAGUGGCUUUAAACUAACUGAACCCACGAAAGCUAGGGUA
rnacentral:rRNA from 1 species